rnacentral:rRNA from 1 species
UACGUAGGGGGCAAGCGUUGUCCGGAAUCAUUGGGCGUAAAGCGCGUGUAGGCGGCUUGAUAAGUCCGCUCUGAAAGCCCGGGGCUCAACCCCGGGAGGCGGGUGGCUACUGUUGAGCUUGAGUCCGGAAGAGGCGAGUGGAAUUCCCGGUGUAGCGGUGAAAUGCGCAGAUAUCGGGAGGAACACCAACGGCGAAGGCAGCUUGCUGGGACGGUACUGACGCUGAGAUGCGAAAGCGUGGGGAGCAAACAGG